UACGUAGGGGGCGAGCGUUGUCCGGAUUUAUUGGGCGUAAAGAGCUCGUAGGCGGUUUGGUAAGUUGGAUGUGAAAUCUCCAGGCUCAACUUGGAGGGGUCAUUCGAUACUGCCAUGACUAGAGUUCGGUAGGGGAGUGUGGAAUUCCUGGUGGAGCGGUGAAAUGACGCAGAUAUCAGGAGGAACACCCGUAGCGAAGGCGGCACCUGCGGGCGAACUGACGCUGAGGAGCGAAAGCGUGGGGAGCAAACUGG
rnacentral:rRNA from 1 species